NNNNNNNNNNNNNNNNNNNNNNNNNNNNNNNNGAUGUGGUCCCUGGGGGGAUUUUAGGGAUGUGGUCCCUGGGGGGAUUUUAGGGAUGUGGUCCCUGGGGGGAUUUUAGGGAUGUGGUCCCUGGGGGAUUUUAGGGAUGUGGUUCCUGAGGGGAUUUUAGGGAUGUGGUCCCUGGGGGAUUUUAGGGAUGUGGUCCCUGGGGGUGCAGGGGUUGUGCUGUCGUGGGGGGCGAUGCCGAGGGAUGUGGUGGAGACACCCGGGGAGGUGACAGCACAGCGGCCCUGGGAGCAGGGACAGGGGGCUGCGGUGGGUGUAGCCCUGCAGGAGGAGCCUGGGGAUGCAGGAGGAGCAGAGCCAUGGGAAUGCUGGGGAAAUACGAGACUGGGGGGUCCAGGUGGCUGCAGGGGCAUCCAUGGGAGUGGCUCUGGGCAUGUGGGGGACAGGAGCAGCCAUGGGUGUGCCAGGAAGGGGACACAGCCUUGGAGCAGCCCCGUGCUGGACAGGCAGGAGGGAUCCAGGCCCCAUGGGGUUUUUGGCCAAGAUUCCUUCCAAAUGCCAGCUUGGAAUUCCAGCACUGCUGCUGCUUGUGCUCAGCAUCCUGCUCAUCCCGUCCUGCUCAUCCCGUCCUGCUCAUCCCGUCCUGCUCAUCCCACCCUGCUCAUCCCAUCCUGCUCAUCCCAUCCUGCUCGUCCCAUCCUGCUCAUCCAUCCCAUCCUGCUCAUCCCAUCCUGCUCAUCCCGUCCUGCUCAUCCCGUCCUGCUCAUCCCAUCCUGCUCAUCCCAUCCUGCUCUUCUCAUCCUGCUCAUCCCGUCCUGCUCAUCCCACCCUGCUCAUCCCAUCCUGCUCAUCCCGUCCUGCUCAUCCCGUCCUGCUCAUCCCAUCCUGCUCUUCUCAUCCUGCUCAUCCCAUCCUGCUCGUCCCAUCCUGCUCAUCCCACCCUGUUCAUCCCACCCUGUUCAUCCAUCCCAUCCUGCUCAUCCCACCCUGCUUGUCCCAUCCUGCUCAUCCCAUCCUGCUCAUCCCGUCCUGCUGAGGAUCUCUGGGACACUCCCGGGGCCAGCAGGGGCUGACAGCAGGGACAGGACCGUGGUGAUGGAGCUGCUGCUCCUCUCCAGCCAGGAGCUUCCAGCACAAACUCAGAGCAUCCCUGCAGCCAAGCACAUCCCUGCUGCCGCACCAUUCCGGGCUGGAUCCGUCCCUAUGGAGUGCUGCCUUCCCGCACACCCGGGCCAGAGCAGAUUGGGACUCUACUUUCCCUCCAUCCCUUGUCCCAGGUCCCUCUCCAGCUCUCCUGGAGCCCCUUUGGGCCCUGCAAGGGGCUCGGAGCUCUCUCUGGAUCCUUCCCUUCUCCAGCUGAACACCCCCGGCUCUCCCAGCCUGG
rnacentral:lncRNA from 1 species